GGGUUGUGAGGUUAAGCGACUAAGCGUACACGGUGGAUGCCCUGGCAGUCAGAGGCGAUGAAGGACGUGCUAAUCUGCGAUAAGCGUCGGUAAGGUGAUAUGAACCGUUAUAACCGGCGAUUUCCGAAUGGGGGAAACCCAGUGUGAUUCGUCACACUAUCAAUUAACUGAAUCCAUAAGGUUAAUGAGGC
rnacentral:rRNA from 1 species